GGAGUGUUAAAUAAAUAAAAGAAAAACCGUCUGUGGCAAUGGACAAUUAUUCCUUGCUGUCUUUUUUUGAAAUAGGUUUUUAGGUUUUUAAACAGAGGCUUACUCCCUCAUACAUCCUAAAUGUAGCAGGCAUGUCACUUGUCUCUAGUCCCCUAAUCCUUGUUUUAUCUCUAGGCAGCUGGGGCUUUUGAGCUCCUUGCUUUUCCCAUGCAAAUGCCUAGUGGGGAGUAAGUUGCAGGGCAUCUCUAGAAAGAUGCUCCAGCCACCCUUCCACAGCUCCUGUUACUGCCUGAAGGUACCUUUCUGAACUCCCUUAAAUAGUUAGGUCAGCCUCCUGCAUAGGAUCUGCAGCUGGUUGCAGAGAGGGUGAACGCCAAGACCAGGCCAGGAUUGGACAGACUCUAUUUCUUCUCUCUCUGCUCCCUAAGCGUGUUCACACGUGUUAGCAUCCGAUGCCGCUUAGAAUGAAAUUGCCUGGAGGGGAGAACAGGUCAAUUCAGCACUGGACAGGUCCCCUCGGUGGCACUCGAUCCAUCUCGACUAUCCUGACUCCUCCAUUAAGAAAGAAGGUGACCUCUGAUCCUGGAGGCAGUGUCUCCAGGGUUUCUGGUGUCUCCUAAUAGACUCUACAU
rnacentral:lncRNA from 1 species